CCCACCUAGCUAAAGGCUCAGAGAUUCAUUAUAAUGUGGGAAGAAAUUAAAGCGGAAAAAAAGUGAUACAUUUUCCUGUCAAUUCAUUUGUCUUCGAUUUCAAGUUAUUCUUUAACCUUUGUAAGAAAUAGGAACUAACUGCGUGAGAGGGGUGUGUGUACGUGGGUGCAUAUGCACUACAGACAUGCAGUACCUACGCCUGUGUUUGUGAUGUACAAGUGUGUGUGAUCUGAGCACAUGAAUUGCCUCACAAACAGUGGAAAAUGGUGACAGUUCCAUUUUUCCUCUUUAAUUAGGAAAUAUUCCUUGAUUGUCUUGGCACCCAUUACUUUCUAAUAACUCCAUAGGACCAGGAGAAGAAGAAUAAAUGUCUGCCGCACGUAAUCUGCUAUAAAGCAAUUAUUUUACCAGGAUAGUAUCCAAUUGCAAGUACAACACCGCAACGGCUAUGAAUGAGAUGCAAAAGAAAAAAAAAAAAAAAAAAAAAAAAAAAAAAAGAGGCUAGUGGAGGGAUGAUAAUAUUUGAGAGUACAUACAAUUCAAUGGGUCGCAGUACGAAAUAUCUAGCCUCGGUAACGUAGCUCUGAUAUAGCUAGACUGCAAAGAAACUUUCCCUUUUCAUGUGUUUCAGGCAGCAAAAUGCUGGGGUUAGAAGACUGCGAGCCAGUUUCCUGCAUACCACUAUAAUUAAUUUGAGUGCGGAGAUCAAAGAUCCGAGGGCGAAGGGAAUAAUUGAUUCUGCCAGAAAACGCUUCCCCGGCGCAGCCCACGGUCAGCCGCCACCCACGGCAGUAAUCUAGAUGGUGGAGAAAUCCAAAAGCCAAGACCAGGAUAGAAUGACUCUGAAUGAACAAAUACAACAGAAAAGGAGGAAAACUAUUGAUGAACUACCAGUACUAUUAACACAGUGAGGUAAGCACAAUAAGACAUUUG
rnacentral:lncRNA from 12 species